CCUACGGGGCGCAGCAGUGGGGAAUAUUGCACAAUGGGGGAAACCCUGAUGCAGCAACGCCGCGUGAGUGAAGAAGUAUCUCGGUAUGUAAAGCUCUAUCAGCAGGGAAGAAAAUGACGGUACCUGACUAAGAAGCCCCGGCUAACUACGUGCCAGCAGCCGCGGUAAUACGUAGGGGGCAAGCGUUAUCCGGAUUUACUGGGUGUAAAGGGAGCGUAGGCGGUGCAGCAAGUCAGAAGCGAAAGCCCGGGGCUCAACUCCGGGACUGCUUUUGAAACUGUUGCACUAGAUUGCAGGAGAGGUAG
rnacentral:rRNA from 1 species